rnacentral:lncRNA from 1 species
CAGAUGUGCUGCAGGCAGAGGACUCGGGUUCGGGUGCUGAGGUAAGCUCCGCGAUUGAUUUGCAUAUAUUGCAUAAAAAAAAUUCUAUUAAUUGCGGAAUCGUUAACAAUGUUAACAAUCUCACUCCAAAAAAUUGUGGGUGUUUUUGAUUAUUAACGAAAAAUCAAAAACUUUUUGCACUGUGAGAGACGCAUAUAUAUAUAUACAGUUUUCUCAGCAGAUAAUUACAUUUGAGGAAUGAAAUUGAUGCGAAUCGUUUUCAAUUUAAUUGCGGAUUAUAAAUAUCAAGGUCUAAGUUCAUGAUUCGCGAUAAUUAUUUAAUAAUAAAUUAAUUUAAUAUUCUGGGUAAUCGACAAGCCAGUUCGCUGAUCUGCGUCCCAUUUUAGAGCAUCUGCGCACGUCCAGUGCGCGGGCUAACGCGCGAAUUUCAAAUUUUGCGUUCUGCUGCAGCGGUGCGUGAAUAUUUAUGAAUAACAAACAUAACCUGAAAAGCUGCAGAGCAGACAAGAAUGAAAAUAAGAAGAACGAGUGCUGCCCGAGAGAGAAUCCGUCGGCGCGAGCACCGAAGAGACAAAUAAAAUAGAAUAGAUGCCACAUAGAAGACUGAUCAAGAAUUUGGUUAAAAUCAGAGCUCAGCAAUCUUGCAAAAUUUUAACAUGUCCGUUGAAGCACUCAGCGAUUCCGAGCUUCGGACUAAACUUUGUGAUGGGUAUGAAAAUUCUUGUCAAAAGGCUGAAGUCACUCUUGGAAUCUCAGGUGGAUCAGCAGGAUCUCGGACCUCGAUGGCUGCAAGGUAGAGCUAUCACUAUGAUAUGAUACAGAUGACGAUAUCUCUGCAAGUGCAAACAAUAAAAAGAAGAAAGCUCCUCUUAAUACCGUAGACAAACUUUAGCUAAUCCUAUAUGAUAUGCCACCGCCUGCAACAGUGCCAAUCCCAUCUACGCUUGCAGCUCAAAACACAGCAAAGAAGCGAAUGUCUAGAAAUUUACAGGCUGCAGACUCAGAAGAUUUGGAUGUAAAUAAUGUUGUACCCAUAAUUCAUACAUCUCCACCUUUAAAUAAAUGUCAAAGCAAGACCUGACGUUAAACCUUGUUGGCUUGUCACCAGGAGAAUAUAUAUAAUUAGAAUAUUUAUAGUAUUAGUUGGUACAUGGCUGGGCGUGAAACCUCUGAUGCUGUUGCCAUUGUGUAAGGAAUAAAAAGGUUUAGAAAAAUUCUUGGGAAAUAUAGAUGCAAGUAAGGUUCCAGAAUACUUAAGGAAGGAUUUGAAGGAAUUCGCAGAAAUGUUAUAUAUAAUUGAAAAAGGUCUAUCGCAGUAUACAAAAGUAAGAAUCAAAAAAGCUUGCAUACAGUAAAGGAAAAGAAGCUGAAAAGGGUAUUGAAAAGAUUUUCAAAUAAGUAUCUGUGUUCAAUGGAAAAUGAUGUUGUGAGAGACCGAAUACUUAAUAUAAAAGGUCGAAAUGUCAUUUUUAACAAAACUUGUGGCCAAGUUAUGGAUUCAUCAUUUACAGAAUUAUGCAAUUGGCCACAACAAAGUGCAUCACGCUUAAUUUGCAUGAUGUAUGACCUGUUGCAAUGAAAACUCAGUAUCUAGGAGUAGCAGCUGGAAUUCAAAGUGAUAUUGAAAACUUGGUUGAAGUAAUGGAAGUGUGGAAUGUUUCCUGAAGGAAUGUUGAUUGACAAUGUUGUUGAAGGUGCUUAACGAGAAUUGUCUUGGGAAGCUGAUCAUGACAAGGAAGCUGAGUGCACUAGGUUAUAUAGAAAAUAUGCGUAACCCUAUUCAGAGUAUUAUGUACAAGAAAUCAUUGUUUUAGAUAACACUGUUAGAUUUUGGAGCAAGUCAAAGUUACACUAAAGAUUUUAUGGAUAAAUAUAUUGAAAUAAUCAAUGGAGCUAGGAGAUAGACGUAAAGUAUUAACUAUAUCAAAAGAAAUGGGAUUUCUAACUAGAUAUGAAUCAAAGAUCAUGGAAGAAGCACAUGUAGGUGGUUUUGCCAAGUAUUUCAAAAAGAUCAUGAAUAUUUCAAUUUUGAAGAUGUUACAAAGUGGACACAGGCAUUAGUUUCAACUAUUAUUCAUCAUCGUCUCUGCCCUCCGCCAUAAGAGAUUUACAGUUUACACAGAAAAUUCAGGUGUAUUUUUACUGUAUGCAAUACUAAAUGUCAAAAUCAAUUGUCGCUGUGUGUUCCAUGAAGUUUACAAAAAUUAUCAGUUUGGAUAAAUAAUUGACAUUUUAUAAAAUUGUAAUAUACGAAAAAUAGCUUUAAUAAAUUACUUUUUAUCAUUUUCAUA